rnacentral:rRNA from 1 species
UAGGGAAUCUUCGGCAAUGGACGAAAGUCUGACCGAGCAACGCCGCGUGAGUGAAUAAGGUUUUCGGAUCGUAAAACUCUGUUGUUAGAGAAGAACAAGGACGUUAGUAACUGAACGUCCCCUGACGGUAUCUAACCAGAAAGCCACGGCUAACUACGUGCCAGCAGCCGCGGUAAUACGUAGGUGGCAAGCGUUGUCCGGAUUUAUUGGGCGUAAAGCGAGCGCAGGCGGUUUCUUAAGUCUGAUGUGAAAGCCCCCGGCUCAACCGGGGAGGGUCAUUGGAAACUGGGAGACUUGAGUGCAGAAGAGGAGAGUGGAAUUCCAUGUGUAGCGGUGAAAUGCGUAGAUAUAUGGAGGAACACCAGUGGCGAAGGCGGCUCUCUGGUCUGUAACUGACGAUGAGGCUCGAAAGCGUGGGGAGCAAACAGG